rnacentral:rRNA from 1 species
AAUGAACGCUGGCGGCAGGCCUAACACAUGCAAGUCGAGCGGAUGGAGGGAGCUUGCUCCUGGAUUCAGCGGCGGACGGGUGAGUAAUGCCUAGGAAUCUGCCUUGCAGUGGGGGAUAAGGUCCGGAAACGGGCGCUAAUAUCGCUUCCGUCCUGAGGGAGAAAGUGGGGGAUCUUCGGAUCUCACGCUUUCAGAUGAGCCUAGGACGGUUUAGCUAGUUGGGGGGGUAAAGGCCUACCAAGGCGACGACCCGAAACUGGUCUGAGAGGGUGAUCGGUCACACUGGAACUGAGACACGGUCCAGACUCCUACGGGAGGCAGCAGUCGGGAAUAUUGGGCAAUGGGCGAAAGCCUGAUGCAGCCAUGCCGCGUGAGUGAAGAAGGUCUUCGGAUUGUAAAGCGCUUUAAGUUGGGAGGAAGGAAAGUAAGUUAAUACCUUGCUGUUUUGACGUUACCGACAGAAUAAGCACCGGCUAACUUCGUG